rnacentral:rRNA from 1 species
GACGAACGCUGGCGGCAUGCUUAACACAUGCAAGUCGAACGAGACCUUCGGGUCUAGUGGCGCACGGGUGCGUAACGCGUGGGAAUCUGCCCUUUGCUACGGAAUAACUCAGAGAAAUUUGUGCUAAUACCGUAUAAUGUCGUAAGACCAAAGAUUUAUCGGCAAAGGAUGAGCCCGCGUAAGAUUAGCUUGUUGGUGAGGUAAAGGCUCACCAAGGCGACGAUCUUAGCUGGUCUGAGAGGAUGAUCAGCCACACUGGGACUGAGACACGGCCCAGACUCCGUACGGGAGGCAGCAGGUGGGAAUAUUGGACAAUGGGCGGAAAGCCC